UACGGGGGGUGCGAGCGUUGUCCGGAAUCACUGGGCGUAAAGGGCGCGUAGGGUGGUCUGAUAAGGGUGUGGUGAAAGCCCGGGGCUCAACCCCGGGUCGGCCGUGCCGACUGUUGUGCUAGAGUGCAGAAGGGGGCAAUCGGAAUUCUUGGUGUAGCGGUGAAAUGCGUAGAUAUCAAGAGGAACACCUGAGGUGAAGACGGGUUGCUGGGCUGACACUGACGCUGAUGCGCGAAAGCCAGGGGAGCAAAC
rnacentral:rRNA from 1 species